CUUUCUUGAUUCGGUGGGUGGUGGUGCAUGGCGUUCUUAGUUGGUGGAGCGAUUUGUCUGGUUAAUUCCGAUAACGAACGAAGACUCUAGCCUGCUAACUAGGCGAUUUCCGGUACCCACAACAGUGUUACCGGCGAUUCAAUUUCUUCUUAGAGGGACAGGCGGCUCCUAGCCGCACGAGACUGAGCAAUAACAGGUCUGUGAUGCCCUUAGAUGUCCUGGGCCGCACGCGCGCUACACUGAAGGAAUCAGCGUGUCUUCCCUGCCGACAGGCCCGGGUAACCCGUUGAACCUCCUUCGUGCUAGGGAUUGGGGCUUGCAAUUGUUCCCCGUGAACGAGGAAUUCCCAGUAAGCCGAGUCAUAAGCUCGCGUUGAUUACGUCCCUGCCCUUUGUACACACCGCCCGUCGCUACUACCGAUUGAAUGAUUU
rnacentral:rRNA from 1 species